GAGGAAAAGAAACCAACAGGGAUUGCCCUAGUAACGGCGAGUGAAGCGGCAACAGCUCAAAUUUGAAAGCUGGCUCCGGCCCGCAUUGUAAUUUGCAGAGGAUGCUUUUGGCGAGGUGCCUUCCGAGUUCCCUGGAACGGGACGCCAUAGAGGGUGAGAGCCCCGUAUGGAUGGACACCAGACCUGUGUAAAGCUCCUUCAACGAGUCGAGUAGUUUGGGAAUGCUGCUCUAAAUGGGAGGUAAAUCUCUUCUAAAGCUAAAUACCGGCCAGAGACCGAUAGCGCACAAGUAGAGUGAUCGAAAGAUGAAAAGCACCUUGAAAAGGGGGUUAAACAGUACGUGAAAUUGUUGAAAGGGAAGCAUUUAUGACCAGACUUGCGCCGGGCAGCUCAUCAGGGGUUCUCCCCUGUGCACUCUGCCCGGCUCAGGCCAGCAUCGGUUCUCGUGGGAGGAUAAGAACAGUGGGAACGUGGCCCCCCUCCGGGGGGGUGUUAUAGCCCAUUGUACGAUACUCUCGUGGGGACCGAGGUUCGCGCUCCGCAAGGAUGCUGGCGUAAUGGUCAUCAAUGACCCGUC
rnacentral:rRNA from 1 species